UGAUUUUUAGUUUAUACUUUUAAAACGUCUUUUUUGUAAAAAGAAAAAAUAUUAAUAAAAUCAU
rnacentral:tRNA from 1 species